AAUCACCUCCCUCGACCUGCUGGUCAUGCUUCUCUUGAUGCAGCCCAGGAUGUGGUUGGCUUUCUGAGCUGCGAGGACUUGGUAUAUAUCUGAAUGUUCACCAAAUAAAGAGGUCUUUGGAACACCUCUGAUUGAAUGCUAUUAAAAUUUUAAACUUAUUUGUCCGGUCAGGAUGACCUGUUAAUUAGGUAGACCUGGGCAAGAAUUUUCUGACACCAUCCAUUUCUAACAGAAAGGAGGACAGAGUCAAAGUACUAUGUUUUUAACAAUCCAGUGUUCUAAUUAUUUAUUAAAAGUGUAACAAUGUCUUUUAGGCUAUAUUAAUAGUAUCAAAUUUAUCAGUGAGACAGAAAAUCCAGCUUCUAGCUAUAUCUACAGUCCAGGAUUUCUGGACUGAUACAUUUUUCUACAGAACACUGAAAAUAAUCAAUUUACUGAUAGAACACAUUUUUUCUUUAGCAUUUUCUUUUAUGUUCUUUAACAUAAUGUUUAGUGUUGUUUAACUUUUUAAUUGAAUAAAAAUCUUGUCCUUGUGAAACAAACAUAGAAACAAAAUGUUGUGUUCAUUACACUCUUUUAAAUUCCCCUCUAUCUUAAAAAAGUCAGACAAGUGAAAUGAUAAAAAAAUAGGCAUUUUGUCUCUGAAUUUCCAUUAUUAACAGAACAUCAGUUAGCUUGAUUAAUGCAAGUACUGUAAUAUUACAAGUAUGUUUUUUAAUUCUACCUGGUUUUGGAGGCCUUGCAUUUCAGAUGACUUAAAAAUAGGAUAUUACAGCACAGAUCAUGCUACACACAGAGAUAUCAAAGGAACACCAGAACUAAAUGAGAUAGCUAUUGCUGUGCAAGCUUUAAUCAAGGUAAAUUAGGAAAGUAUCUUAAUAGCUUCAUGCUGCAGAAUGUGUGCUUUUGUCACUGUCAUCUCUGUUUUGUGUAAUUCUUAAGGAGCUGUUUUGACUUUUCUUCUAUCUUCAUCUAUUUCAGCUAAGUGAUAUAAAUUUCUGUUUUCAAAAUAGAGUAAUAUACAAGUAUUAAUAGAUUCGUGGAUUACUUGGCUAUCUGAAUCAGAGAAAAUUACAUAGGGAUUAACAUUGUUUAAAAAAAAAAAAAAAAAAAGUAAACCUAAGUGAAAAUUCUGAAGGUUUAAACCUAUCUAAUAGUAAUAAAUGUGGGCCUGUCAGUUCCGUAGAUAUGUGCCCGUUAUCAGUUAUGGGUGUGGCUAAAGAGACCUCACACAUCUUGUUAAGGAGAUUAAAUAAAAUAGUGCAACGCUUCUGCAAAUCACAUACAAAAGCAAAUUAGAAAGAAGAUCCAAUCGUGUUAUCUACUCUUGCAUAAUUACAAGUGUAUCUUAAGCAGUGUCUGAAAUUGAAUGCUUAGACUUGGGAGGGAGGGUGCAGCUCAUAAGGAGGUACAUGCAGUCUGCUUAACGUAAGUGCCUUACAAUUUGUGAUGAAAGACCGGUGUCUCUAGAGACCUGCAGGGGGAGAUCGAUCCAUCAGAAUUAGGUGUUUCUGUCGGUCUCUUUACUAUGUAAGAAAUUACAAAGGGAGGUGCUUCAAGAUAUAAAAUGAUUAUGUGCGCGAACAGUUAAUUUCAUGGGGAAAAAAAAAAAAAGAACCCAAAACUUUUAUUUUUAGUUUUUAGAUGUAUACAUAAAGAUCUAAAAUUAAAUGCUUUUGAUACUAUUUUUAGAAGCAGUAUCUCUUUCUACCUCACAUCCCUGAAAGAUUUCAGAGUAUUUUGCUCAUCUGAGCCAGUGGCAAGCAGAAUGCAUUUCCUUUAGCUCUUCUUCUGUCACUUCAUGCUAAAAUGCAGAUAUUUUAAUUCUUUUUUACCAUAAAAUACUUUGCAGAAUGUUGAAUUAGGAUUUACAAACAAGUUUUGACCACUUUUUGGAUUUACAUUGUGAUAACCUCUAUUGAUACAUAUGUGUGGAUCUCCUUUGCAGAAUCUGACAAGUUACCAUCUGGCAGAUACUUGAGUGUUCCUAAAUUAGUUAUUUUUUUGAGAAAGUUAAAUGUCUUUCCUGUGAAAUAUUCUCUACCUGUCAAAUACUGAAUCCAAAUAUCUUCAAAAUAUGCAGUACUGAAGGUUUGGAGUUUUUAGUUUAAGAGAGAACGCUUUGUACAUCCGGAUACAAAGUAAUUUAUAUUGAAGGUCAGUUCUCAUUAUGCUUUACUUGCCUGUGACUACUGAAAUAUAUGCUUAAUACUGUAUAUUCAGAUCUUCAUUUCAUGAGUUACAGUUUUCUGAAUGUCAUUUUUAAAUUUUUCACAGGAGUGAUACAAUGGAGUGGUGCUUACAACAAACAUUCCAAAGAUGUCAUUGGCACUUCUGACAUUGCAAUAUAUGUUCAUUUUGGUACAUUUUUGUAAAUUUUUUUUUGUUCUGCAGAAGUUAUUCGGGUUUUCUUCACUUUUAAAUUUCAUUAGAGAACAUUAUACUGCAAUAUAUCUUAUUUUCAUUAUAGAAGGCUCCCCAAGACUUUAUUUAACAGUCCAAUUCGUUAUUUGGGGUGAGAAUCAGCUCACAGAUUAAGAAAUCUACAUUUAGGUGUGUCAUGGGGGUAUCCUUGUCUGAGCAGGGCACCUAAACUUCCCAUAUAGUCAGUGCAGAUCUGUCUUUGUAGUCAAUGGAGAUGUCUAAAGCUAUGCUACUUAGCCUCUGUCUCCAGUUUCAGAAGGGGACAGGUUUCCUUUAGCCCUGUGUCAUGUCUGCCAGCCCUGCAUAAGAUGUCUUUCAUAGCUCAUUUCUUCUGACACUGAACCAUGUGUGCAUGAGCAACUGAGUCAAGUUCCAUUGACUUCAUUGCCUGUAACAGAAACUUACGUAGUUCUUACACAGGCACUUAAAUUUAGGUGUUUUACUCUGCAGAUGGAAACUCCUGCUGCCAGGCUAAGAUGUCUAAAGCAUGGAUGUGAAGUUGUGUGCUCUGGCAGCUGUAGACACCCAUGCCCAAGUGACUGGUUUAGACCAAAGAGGAUACCGUAGGACAUAGAAAUACUUGUGUUUAGGUGCGUGAAUCUAACCAUCAGCUUGAACAGAGUGAUGGAAUAGUCAUACUUUUCUUCUGACUAGCUCACUUUGUAUAUAAAGAUAAAUAAUACUAAGAUUUUUAUUUUUAGCUCCUUCACUCCCUCCAGCAAGAUUUGUUCAUCUACAAAAGUAUCAUUCAAGCACAAAUCAAAGAAAAAACUGAAGAACAGUCUUAAAAUCUUUAUAAAUACAUAAAUGAUCGACUGACAGACAUUGACUUUUUACAUAAACAGAUUGAGAGAAAAAUUCUUGUUCAUUUACAUGUUAAUCUUCACUAGAUGCCAGUUCUCAUUCAUGUCCCCUCUUUGUGCAGAUUGAUACAAUAUUGCUUAAUGAAAAGUAACCCACGGAAGUAUUGAAAAUAAGGAAAUAAAGAAAAGUGCUAAUAUAGAUUUAAAAGUGACUGUUUAAUGUGUCUUUUGCAAAUUUGCAAUUAACAGAACAUGGGUUACAUUGACCUUGGCCUAUUAUUACCAUAUCUAGGAAAACUUAUUAAACUGUAGUGUGGUUAUUUCUAGUAAAAUAUAGCAAUGAAUUAAUUAGCAAGAAGUGUAGCACACUUCCCGUGUGUAUAAUUUAUUUACAAUUCUUUUCCCAUAUAUUUAUUUGAAAAUAUAUAGUCAGGUGAUCUUUAGGUAGUAAACCACAGCCCAUACCAGCAUUAACACUCCUAGGUGAUCAUGUUGCAACUAGUGAACACUCACUACAACAGACAAAUAUGCAUAAAGCCUCAGUUUCAAGCUUCUGAUACAAACAUUAAAAAACAAAUGUUAAAAAUAUUGAUGCAGCAAAAAAGAAGUGAUAGAGAAGAAACAUGACCUUUUUUUUUUAGGUUCAAGAGCUUGUAUAGCAUUUAAUUUUCUUAAAUGAAGUAGUAAAAUAUAUAAAAGCGGUUCGGUUUGGUUUUGUAAUUGCUUGUGUCCUUUUAUUGCAUGUCAGAGUUCUCAGUAAUUUGUUACAAAUUGAAUUGCAGAAAAAGUUCCACAUUCAGCAAAGCUGCCAACAACAGUUAUGUGAUGCACUGACUGUUCUCAGAGCAAAUAUUGAGAAGUAUUACAACAUAGAUGGAGGAGACACAGCAUGUUCAGCAAGAAAACUUUUGAAGCUUUUGCCUAACAAGCUACACGAGGAAGAAUCCAUAAUGGAAGAUCUGGGGAGAAAAUUUCAGGAUUAGAAAAAAAAAAAAGACUAAAAUGAUGAGCAGGUUUGACGAUGACCAAAAAUGGAAGCUGAUGAGCAAACUGUUCAAAAGACGAAUCUCUCUUCUAUGAUCAAGUUUCCCAUUAUCCCAUUAUAUAUUCCUUAAUUAUCCUUACAGGAGCAUUGAAAGGAGGGGACUUGGAGCCUGGAUCUUCCUCCUGUGCCCAGGCUGCCAAGCUGUGCACUAGCUGCGGGCGAUUGCCUCUCUAAGGUCUCUCAAAGCAGUGUAAGAGAUGGCAAGGACUGAGUUUUUCCUAAGGACUGAAGCACUUACCCAGGGUUCUGGGCAUUCAUUGAACUUGAGGACCUUUGAACCUAUAGCUCCAUAUACCAAUGACUUAACUACUAGUUUGCACUGUUUCUGGUGGGAAAAUAUUCUCUUUAAAGCUGGACACAGGGAGAGCAAGCACAGAAGAGCCAUAAUCUCUAGGCUACAUGUUUGGAUACUCAGCAUGAAGGAAGGGACUUUUCUAUAGGUUUGUUCUUUCUUUCUUCAGAUUUUUCCUGAGUAUUUUUGCUUGGUUUUUGAGGGGGGUGUGUGUGUUUUGUAUAUUGUUUUCUUGUAAUUCAUAGUCUAAUGUAAAAUGCAUAAAUGAUCUAGCAAGUCAAAACAUGAGGUUGUCCCUUUCUCAUGCAGUCACAGCUUUGGUAUGUCGUCAAGCUCGUGCAUGAGUAUUCUGUAUCUAGUCUCAUGAAUUUCAUAUUCUUUGUGUCCAAUGGCACAGCUUGAACAGAACUGGUGGCUUAUUCUCAUCAUAGAGGGGUAGUUAGGCUUCUUUUCCAUGACUUGGGAUAUUGUAAUCAAGCCCCAUAAAACUCCCAGCAGCAUACAAUGUCGGCUGCCCUGAUUUGUGGCUGAGCAUUCUAGCUUCUAGGUUAUUAUGCUGAAGGGGAGCAUUUCUCCAUUUUUAUGAAAGAAAAUGAAUGUCAGCGUUGUACUCAACAUUGUCUGGUUUUAAAUAUGUUCGAAAUGCAAAUUCAGUAAGUAACGAACUCUGCUCCUGGUGACACUGAGAAAUAUAGAUGUUUAACUUACAAGUCCCAAGUGACAGUAGCUGUGACAGAAGUCCCAGACAGCUCAAGCCCAGCAGAACCAAGGAAGAUUUACCAUGUAAUGUAACUGUUUAAGGGAGUUUGAUUCUGAAACUUCUGAAAAAUUCUUAAAGAUUUCUGCUUAAAUUGCUCUUCAGGCACAAUUCUUAGUCCGCGGUGAGAUUAGUUGUGUAAUUUGCCUAACAAUGUUUGUCUCACAAAGAUAUAUUAGAACUUGCUGCAGGUGAUAUAGACGUCUGUUGAUCUUUCUAUAAAUUUACAACAGAACAGUGGAAUUGCCCCUGCAGUUCCAAACUGCCACUGUUGUUUGUCUGUAACGGAUUUCCACAAAUAUCUGCUUUUCUCAGAGUUUAAGUCACUGAUUAAAGUCUCUGUUUCUAAUGUUUUUUGUCAUCUUCCUACCUCCUGUGACAUCACACUCUACUUAUGUCAAAAGAACUUUAUAUGUGUGACACCUGUGAUAUUAUUAAACUCCACAUAAAAGUAUUGACCUGUAAGUGAAGAUGUCUGUUACCAGUUAUAAUACAAAAAUAUGUGUAUGUCCACAUGUAGUGUCUUGACCAGGGAGACUAUACUAAGAAAGGAUUUUUAGAGAAUUAUGCCUGUUUGCAGUAUGAAAUCCAACAUUAAUUCCCACACAUUUAUAUUUUAGUUGAUUGAAAUUCAAGAACAAAUGAAGGCAGAACUUGAAAAUGAAAGACCAUAGUUAAAAAUCGGCAUUAAUCAAAGGUGUGGAAAUGCGGUAAUUCCUGUUCUACAAAUGGUGAACUGCAGUGAAGGUACAUCCAUCGCUCAGAAAACUCUCUGUAUUGUGCUUCAUGCUUGUUUAGUUUGAUACGGUAUCUCUAAGGUCAAUGGAAUGUUUCUCAUUAUGGUCAGUAUUCAUUGAAAUAGGCUUUGAGUUAUCUUCUCAUCUGAAAAUGGUUGAGAAUACGCUGUGUUGAUAAUAUAAUGACAGUGUUAUCAGUGGUUUUAGUAAUAAUGCAAGUCUCUGUAUAAAAAUAAAGCUCUAUUAUUCUUACCAGGUCUACAUUAAUGAGUAUACACUGUGUUACCUGAAUAGGUAGGUACUAGAGGACUUUAUUAAUAGAUACCAUUAAAAUUGCUUGCUUAAAUAAGAGAUUAAUUUAUCAUUUCAUUCACAGCUAAUUGUUGUAAAAUCACAGCAACAGAUACAUUUUCAUGAAAAGCCAGUUAACACUGAGAUAUAAAUAGAUUAUAGAAACAUCCUUGGGUUUGCUUCAUUCUUUUCUGACAGUUUAUUAAGGAACCAGGCAAAUUAUUUUUUCAUAACAGUGUAACUAUCUGGGCAGCAGAUAUUUACCUCGGAUUUAGUCUGUAUAUUGUUAUAUUUUAUUAUAUUCAUAUUUUUAAAAAAAAACUAUAAAAUACGUGAGCCCUCUUGUGGCCAAAAGAUCUUCUAUGUGCCUCUUGAAAUCAUCAAAGACUGUGUGGUGUGGUGAAUGAAGUGCCUGAAAAAUAUCUAGAAAACACUGAAUGUAAAUUUGUUUAGUUAGUACUUCUAAUGUCAGUUCUCUUUCAUUUUGCAUAACAAUUAAAUACAUUUAAGUUUUCCUUUGCAUCUUUCUUAAUUUACUGUUUGUAGCUAAAAUGACCAUGAAGUUCUAGUUUUGUAACUAGAUACAAACAGGGCACAGAACUCCAAGAUUUCUAAUAAAUUUGUUCUUCUACUGUAAUUGCCAUGAAAGGUGCUAGUUAAUGUAGAAUGGGUUUUGUGGAGAUCUUUUUUAUGACACAGGGUUUUUAACUUGAAAAUCUUCAUAUAUAUAUAUAUAUAUCAAUGGUUUGAGUCAUAUAGGACCAAACAUAACUAUCAGAGUGAAUUAUCUUUUAGUUAUUGCUGAACUGGAGCUGAACUCUGGUGAUUUUGAGGCAGAAGAGACUGUAUUUCACUGCCGCUUACCAUUCUUUCCUCACAGAUUCAUGGGAAAAUAAUCCAAACCAUCCAAGCUACAUAUUCUUAUUUAAGAAAAAAUCUUAUCCCCUGAUACCAUAAUUUCCAUGGGUUUUGAGGUUUUUCACUUCCCUUCAUUAAAAUGGUCUGUUUCUGCAGUGUAAUACCUUUCUUUGUAAAGAAAGAGGAAGAAUUUUACAGCUGUUCAAAUUACCUCAUGAACUGGACCUUGAGAAAUUAGGUAGCAAUUUUCAUUGAUUAGAUAAGAUAUCAGCACUCUGUGGUUAAAGUCAUAGUAACUUUAGAGACAGGAAAAGGAUGAUACUUUAAAUUCAAAGUGUGUAUUCUACUCCUCACAGAUUCCUCACUGCAUAAGGUCUGUUACUUUACUCAUACACCUGAUGUAAUAUAUUAAUGGCAUUUUAACAUAUAUAUGUCCCAUGGAUUGCUGAAUGCUUACUGGUUAUUUGUUCUAAUUUUGCUGAUCAAUAGUGUUUGCUUAAUUAUUUUCCCUGGGGCCUGAAAAAGGUACAAAAAAGUUUUGGGUUUUUUUCUUGUAAGUGGCUAUUUUAAAGGUAUGCUGGAGAGUAUUGGUUGCAAUAUCUUAACCUUCUGUAUCAUGAUAUUCAUGGUACUUGUACAAAAUUAUUUAUUUAUGACACAACUAUAUAUAUGUUAAAGAAAUACAAACUAUCAACACAUCUAUUUAU